GAUGAACGCUAGCGGCAGGCCUAACACAUGCAAGUCGAGGGGUAGAGGGGUGCUUGCACCUCUUGAGACCGGCGCACGGGUGCGUAACGCGUAUGCAAUCUGCCCUCUACAGGGGAAUAGCCCAGGGAAACUUGGAUUAAGUGCCCCAUAGUCUAUAAUGAUAGCAUUUGACUUAUAGUAAAGAUUUAUCGGUAGAGGAUGAGCAUGCGUCCCAUUAGCUAGUUGGUGUGGUAACGGCACACCAAGGCAACGAUGGGUAGGGCCCUGAGAGGGGGAUCCCCCACACUGGUACUGAGACACGGACCAGACUCCUACGGGAGGCAGCAGUGAGGAAUAUUGGACAAUGGGCGGAGCCUGAGUCCAGCCAUGCCGCGUGCAGGAAGACUGCCCUAUGGGUUGUAAACUGCUUUUUUACGGGAAGUAAACACCCCACGUGUGGGGGCUUGACGGUACCGUACGAAUAAGGAUACGGCUAACUCCGUGCCAGCAGCCGCGGUAAAGUCGUACG
rnacentral:rRNA from 1 species